UAAAAUGGGUUUUUUAUAAUAAUGAUCCCGAAACUCCGAGAGUUAAAAAUUUAUUUAUUUUAAUGUUUAAUAAUUAUUUAUAAUAGAUUUUUGGGAGUGAAAUGCUAGUCGUUUGGAGUGAUAUCUGGUUCUUUAAGAAAUGAAUUUAAUUCAGCUUUUUUUUAAUUUGAUACAUUUGCGGGUGUUUAAGUAUGAAAGAAGUAAUAAAUUAGGGGAUAAGCUUUAAUUUAAAUGUUUAGAAUAUAAGUUUUUAUUAGAAGUAAAUAGGAUUAGAAGUGUUCAUUUUUAGAAGUGUUUUAUUACAUUUUCUGUAUAAUUUAAUUUUAUUUUUUAUUUAGGUUUUGUAUUGAAGUUUUGGAUUUAAUUAAGUUGUUCGUGUAAUAAUGAUAAAAUUAGUAUAAUGGAAUGUGCGUAUAAAUUUUUUAGUGGAAGAUUAAUUUAAGGAAUUCGGCAAUUAAAUUCUUUGCCUGUUUAAUAAAAACAUGGCCUUUUGAGUUUAUAUAAGGUCUGACCUGCCCAAUGAUUAAUUGAAUGGCCGCGGUACUUUGACCGUGCAAAGGUAGCAUAAUCAUUAGUUUUUUAAUUGGAAGCUGGAAUGAAGGGUUGGACAAGGGAAAAUCUGUCUCUAUUUAAAUUAUUAAAAUUUUACUUUUGUGUUAAAAGGCGUAAAUAUUUUUAAGGGACGAGAAGACCCUAUAGAAUUUUAUAUAGGAAUUUUUAAUAAUUAUAUAGUUUUAUCUAAUUAUUUUAAAUUUGUAUAUUUUGUUGGGGCGACAGGAAAAUUAAAGAAACUUUUCUUUUUUUAUCCAUAAAUGAAUGAGUUUAUGAUCCGAUUUUUUUUUGAUUAUAAGAUUAAAUUACCUUAGGGAUAACAGCGUAAUUGAUUUGGAGAGUUCUAAUCGAUAAAUUAGUUUGCGACCUCGAUGUUGGAUUAAAAUUAACUGUUGGUGCAGAAGCUAAUAGGUUAAGUCUGUUCGACUUUUAAAAUUUU
rnacentral:rRNA from 1 species